AUUGAACGCUGGCGGCAUGCUUUACACAUGCAAGUCGAACGGCAGCGCGGGCUUCGGCCUGGCGGCGAGUGGCGAACGGGUGAGUAAUGCAUCGGAACGUGCCCAGUAGUGGGGGAUAGCCCGGCGAAAGCCGGAUUAAUACCGCAUACGACCUGAUGGUGAAAGCGGGGGACCGAAAGGCCUCGCGCUAUUUGCGCGGCCGAUGUCGGAUUAGCUAGUUGGUGGGGUAAAGGCUUACCAAGGCGACGAUCCGUAGCUGGUCUGAGAGGACGACCAGCCACACUGGGACUGAGACACGGCCCAGACUCCUACGGGAGGCAGCAGUGGGGAAUUUUGGACAAUGGGGGCAACCCUGAUCCAGCCAUGCCGCGUGCGGGAAGAAGGCCUUCGGGUUGUAAAACGCUUUUGUUAGGGAAGAAAUCCUCUGGGCUAAUACCCCGGGGGGAUGACGGUACCGGAAGAAUAAGCACCGGCUAACUACGUG
rnacentral:rRNA from 1 species